rnacentral:rRNA from 1 species
AGAGUUUGAUCAUGGCUCAGAUUGAACGCUGGCGGCAGGCCUAACACAUGCAAGUCGAACGGUAACAGAAAGCAGCUUGCUGCUUUGCUGACGAGUGGCGGACGGGUGAGUAAUGUCUGGGAAACUGCCCGAUGGAGGGGGAUAACUACUGGAAACGGUAGCUAAUACCGCAUAACGUCGCAAGACCAAAGAGGGGGACCUUAGGGCCUCUUGCCAUCGGAUGUGCCCAGAUGGGAUUAGCUAGUAGGUGGGGUAACGGCUCACCUAGGCGACGAUCCCUAGCUGGUCUGAGAGGAUGACCAGCCACACUGGAACUGAGACACGGUCCAGACUCCUACGGGAGGCAGCAGUGGGGAAUAUUGCACAAUGGGCGCAAGCCUGAUGCAGCCAUGCCGCGUGUAUGAAGAAGGCCUUCGGGUUGUAAAGUACUUUCAGCGGGGAGGAAGGGAGUAAAGUUAAUACCUUUGCUCAUUGACGUUACCCGCAGAAGAAGCACCGGCUAACUCCGUGCCAGCAGCCGCGGUAAUACGGAGGGUGCAAGCGUUAAUCGGAAUUACUGGGCGUAAAGCGCACGCAGGCGGUUUGUUAAGUCAGAUGUGAAAUCCCCGGGCUCAACCUGGGAACUGCAUCUGAUACUGGCAAGCUUGAGUCUCGAGAGGGGGGUAGAAUUCCAGGUGUAGCGUCGAAAUGCGUUGAGAUCUGGAGGAAUACCGGUGCGAAGCUGGCCCCCUGGUAC